rnacentral:lncRNA from 1 species
GUUAAUUAUCCAUUUUUAGAUGGUGACGUUCCCUUGUCACCAUCUUACGGUGUUUAUAUAUCUCAACUUGUACGAUUCGCUCGUGUAUGUAACAAUGUUUUAGAUUUUAACGAGAGAAAUUUAUGUAUUACUGAAAAAUUAUUACACCAGGGUUUUCGAUAUCGCAAACUAGUUAAAACAUUUACUAAAUUUUAUCAUCAGUAUAAGGACA